rnacentral:RNase_P_RNA from 1 species
GGGAGCAGGAGGGUCGCUGACAGUGUACGACACUGAGGAAAGUCCCCUCUCCAUGAUGCAAGCGGUCUGGCUCAAGCCAGAGAUCCGGGAGGGUCGGCUCUGCAACAGAAACGAACCACGACAGGCGUACGGUGAUUCCGUAAGGAUGAGGUUUCCUGACCGUGGCUGGAACGGGCAACCCCGCUGGAGCAAGUCCAAGCAGGUCCGUAUCGCAUCGACAGGACCGGGUAGGAUGCAUAGUUGAAUGCGACCAACCGAAAGGUGAACAGAAAGGGGCUUACUCCCUGCACCC